GUCCCACGAGGCUGUUGGUAGAGUAUGGUGCUUGCAACACUAGGGUUGUGGGUUCGAUUCCCACGAGGGACC
rnacentral:tRNA from 1 species